CUGUUCCCGAGAUGAGAAAGUUGAACAAUUAUUUUUUCCAGAGCAAAGAGUCAGUUCAGUUGCGGGCGCUAUGUCCGAGUGAAGAGGAAAUGAGACAACCAUAUUGGAGUUGGCCACAGGAUCGCCCUGCUGUUG